rnacentral:snRNA from 1 species
AAACUACCGGCAGGGGAGUUACUAUGAUCACGAAGGUGGUUCUCCUAGGCAAGGCACAUCUACAGCAGGCUGACCUCUGUGAUGUCCCCAGAUGUGGGAAACUUGAUGGCUUAGUUUUUCAUAGUGGGAGACGGGGUUCCCACUCUCCCC